rnacentral:rRNA from 1 species
UACGGGGGGGGCAAGCGUUGUUCGGAAUUACUGGGCGUAAAGGGCGCGUAGGCGGCCUGCUAAGUCGGAUGUGAAAUCCCUCGGCUCAACCGAGGAACUGCAUCCGAUACUGGCGGGCUUGAAUCCGGGAGAGGGAUGUGGAAUGCCAGGUGUAGCGGUGGAAUGCGUAGAUAUCUGGAGGAACACCGGUGGCGAAGGCGGCAUCCUGGACCGGUAUUGACGCUGAGGCGCGAAAGCUAGGGGAGCAAACGGG